GGGGAUUUAGCUCAGCGGCAUAAGUACCUGCCUUGCAAGCAGGUGGUCGUGAGUUCGAUCCCCA
rfam:Cavia porcellus supercont2_8 genomic scaffold, whole genome shotgun sequence.